rnacentral:rRNA from 1 species
AUUGAACGCUGGCGGCAUGCUUUACACAUGCAAGUCGAACGGUAACAGGUUAAGCUGACGAGUGGCGAACGGGUGAGUAAUGCAUCGGAACGUGCCCGGUCGUGGGGGAUAACACUUCGAAAGAAGUGCUAAUACCGCAUACGAUCUGAGGAUGAAAGCGGGGGACCGUAAGGCCUCGCGCGAUCGGAGCGGCCGAUGUCAGAUUAGGUAGUUGGUGGGGUAAAGGCCCACCAAGCCGACGAUCUGUAGCUGGUCUGAGAGGACGACCAGCCACACUGGGACUGAGACACGGCCCAGACUCCUACGGGAGGCAGCAGUGGGGAAUUUUGGACAAUGGGCGCAAGCCUGAUCCAGCAAUGCCGCGUGCAGGAAGAAGGCCUUCGGGUUGUAAACUGCUUUUGUACGGAGCGAAAAGGCUCUCUCUAAUACAGGGGGCUGAUGACGGUACCGUAAGAAUAAGCACCGGCUAACUACGUGCCAGCAGCCGCCGUAACAC